GAUGAACGCUGGAGGCGUGCCUAAUACAUGCAAGUCGAGCGAACAGACGAGGAGCUUGCUCCUCUGACGUUAGCGGCGGACGGGUGAGUAACACGUGGAUAACCUACCUAUAAGACUGGGAUAACUUCGGGAAACCGGAGCUAAUACCGGAUAAUAUAUUGAACCGCAUGGUUCAAUAGUGAAAGACGGUUUUGCUGUCACUUAUAGAUGGAUCCGCGCCGCAUUAGAUAGUUGGUAAGGUAACGGCUUACCAAGGCAACGAUGCGUAGCCGACCUGAGAGGGUGAUCGGCCACACUGGAACUGAGACACGGUCCAGACUCCUACGGGAGGCCGCAGUAGGGAAUCUUCCGCAAUGGGCGAAAGCCUGACGGAGCAACGCCGCGUGAGUGAUGAAGGUCUUCGGAUCGUAAAACUCUGUUAUUAGGGAAGAACAAAUGUGUAAGUAACUAUGCACGUCUUGACGGUACCUAAUCAGAAAGCCACGGCUAACUACGUG
rnacentral:rRNA from 1 species